rnacentral:rRNA from 1 species
GCUUCCCUGGGAUUGGCUUUGGUUUUUUGUGCAGCUUGGGUGGAAGGCAAAGAAGACUCUUGAGGAGGGUCUAAGCCAUUAAUGAGAUACCACUCUAAAAGAGUUAAAAUUUUAACUUUGUAUCAGGACCUACUGGUCAAGAGACUGUCUCAAGUAAAUAGUUUUUAUGGGCCGUAGGCCUCCUAAAAGGUAACAAAUGCAUGUAAAGAUUUUCCUCGGGUCAUACGGAGAUUGGCUCUCAAGUGCAAAAGCAGAAAGAAGCUCGACUGCAAGACCCACCCCUCAUGGUUACUCCUUUUGAUACCAUAUAAUUUUAUAGUGUAACCAACUUUUUUCUUGAAAAA